rnacentral:rRNA from 1 species
AUGGAGGAGGAGGGAGUUGAGAGCAUCGAUGGCAAUUGUAAACAGCAUCGGGGACACGGGAUCGCCUUGCCGCAGCCCGCAAGCGUGGGCGAUAGGAGGGCCGGGGGAUCCAUUGAUGAGGACGCACGUGCUGGACGUGGAGAGCAAGAUGGCAAUCCACUCGAUCCACCGCCGUCCGAAGCCCAGGUGGCGGAGCACGUCGAGGAGGAAGGCCCAAGAUACCGUAUCAAACGCGCGUGCAAUGUCGAGCUUGAGGAGGACACGAGGCACGCGGAGGUUAUGAAGCUGGCGGGCGGUCUGCUGGACCAGCAUAAAAUUGUCGUGCACGCACCGCCCUGCGAUGAAUGCACUUUCGUUGGAGGAGACGAGCUGGCCCAGGCGAGGAGCAAGGCGUAG